GACCACCUCCCUCAGCCAGCGCGUUGAUUUCGCCAUCGAGGGGUUCGUGCGAUUCAAAUCAAACGUUCACAAUCACAAUCUGCCACCGAACCAGCUCGGUACGGGAUCGUCUUCAUCUAGAAAGCUCGCCCGCCAUCCGCCGUAACUAACCUGCCGAGUUUGGCCUCUUCAAGUUAUAAGAACGCCCAGUAGGUAGGCACAGUCUUCUCCGCAGGUCAUGCAUGCACUGCGGAGUGGCCUACCCCCAGACUCGCAGGCGCCAAGCACCCAUAAUUUGCCGAAUGAAUCUGAGGCAAAACGGACGUACUUUAUAGACGAUCCGCAAGUGACAGGUCCAUCGAGGCAUCUGCGGUCUCCCCGAGGCGUUGGUGAGACGCGAUGGUGCGUGUUGGUGCGAGGUUUGGGUUCGCACUCCAAUAGAAAUAUCCCGGUUGUUUCUGUACAGGGGCCGGCGCGGGCGGCUUUGCCCGCUUUACUCUGUCCUUCGGGCGCUAUGGUCCGUUUUUCUCAUAUUCAGUCGGCGAAUUGUGGGACCUCGACGCCUGUAAGACUCAUGGUAGGCCACCCCGCAGUACACGCGUGCUGUGUAAGCAAGGUGUUGCCUACCUGCCAGGCGCUACGAGGGCUGGCAGAGCAGGUGGCAGGGCGACUCGGGCGGGCCGCUGCAGGUCUUCACGGAGAGGAACCCCUACUGCAUGCAGCACGUCGCCGGGGUCGUGUCGUUCGGCAUCUUCUGCGGCAACAAGGUCCCCGGCGUCUACACCAGAGUGGGCUUCUACAUGAGGUGGAUCGAGAAGACGGUGUGGCCGAACGCCAAGGUCGUGUACCGCGGGCCCGACAAGGAGAACGUCACGAGCGUCCCCGACCCCUGAAGGCCCGGCCCCCGGCCACUCCCCGGCCCGACCGGCCACCCGUACGACGCGAGUGCCGCAUGGGUGGCCUGCCCACCGGGCUGCCCAGCCCACCGGGCGCUGAGAAGGGAGGUCGGGAGGUUGGCUGUGUAAUAAUGUGAUGUCCUAUCCUGGACAUAUUUCUGAAACUCGUAACUUUUCUGCGUACAUUGUGUGCAGUUUAGGUCGUGUCUUUUUAAAGUGGAAAUGUCGAUCGGAGUAUUGGACAUGUCAUAUCAGCUGAUUGCAGUCCAUGACGGAAAAAAUGAGCUGAGCAGUAAGCGUGAUGCACGCGUUGGCUGCCGGACCAAGGAUAAAGCAAUAAAUUUCAAUGCAUUAA